UCUAUAUUCUUAUUCUGCAUAAUAAGUAAACGUUGCAUGCCGGUGUAUCAAUAUGAACACCAAACUUUUCGUCGGCUAUUAUUUCUAGUGCCAUUGUUUCUACAACUGCAUUAGAAUGUUAUAUUUGUAUGGGAACAAAAGAAUGUAAUGAAGGUAUCAAUUUAGAGACAGCGACAUGUAUGGAUAAUAGCUUCUGCCUUACAACAAUACAUACAGAACCAGGAGUUGACUUCCCUGUUUGGGCGAGAGGAUGUGAUAUGGAUAAUUGUUUGGAAAUGAACAUGACAUAUUGCUUUUAUUGUCAAACAAAUUAUUGUAAUGGAUCAAAUGGAUCAGUAUCAAAUGCAAUAGUUUCCUCUAUUCUUAUAAUAUUUACAACUAUGUCUUCCUUUUAUAUAUACACACAUUAAUAUUGAAAUAAUGCAAAACUUUGGAAAAGAUCGGCAGGAGAUAAUUAAGGUUUUCGUUGUUGUUUGUUAAUAGCAAUAUUAGGUUUAUAUAGAAAUAUAUUUAAUAUCAAAAUAUUAAUUUUUGAAAGUUUCAUUAUUUGGUUAUUAAUAUAAAUGAUUAAUUUGUAAAACUAUAUUAAAUUAUUAUUUAAAUAAACAAAUUAUACAAAAUUAUUUAAAUUUUAUUUCUUUUUAAAACUAGAUUAAAUAUGGCAGUUGUAUCGAAACCUAAAAUUUACUAUGUAGACAAAAUUGUAAUUAAGUGCAACUGGCCUACACUGCUAUUUUUGUGCGGGAGGGGGUCAAUGUAAAUAUGCCAACAAUUUACUAUCACAAAAAUGUGAUAGCGGCAGCGGAGUUGGUGAAUCAUGCAUCACACAAGUAGAAAAAAUACCAGGUCAUGCUCCAAAUUUUUUUGUCGCGAGACUUUGUGGCUCGUGUCAGGAAAGAAAGGGGUGUACUGGAUGUAAAAUAGAUUAUUGUAAUGGAUUGCCAAUAAUAUCGGAAUCGACAUCGACAUCAAACGCAGUCCGCAUGUCCUUCAUUGUCUUUAUUCUUACAAGUGUGGUGCCCUUUUGUUACUAUAUUUAAAACAUAAAUUUUAAAUUUAAAUUGUUUUUUUGUGUAAAUAAAAUGUAUACAAUAAAAUAUAAUAUAAUA